AUAAGUUGUAGUGCCUCCUAAAGCUGAAUGAAACCUUGCAGGAACUCUGAGCAGCAGCAGCAGCAGCAGCAGCAGUAAGAGCAGCAGCUACAGCUUGUGAGUUCCCCGGCAGAGGCUGAAGCGUGUCACUUUUGUUAGUAUGCUCAAGGCUGCAAAAAUUGAAGUGGGAUAGGGUAUGCAUUAAAAAUUCUCAAGAAGGAUUUAAUCAUCUCUUAGAAUUCCAUGAGGACUGGGAGAGGUUUCUUUUGGUCAGCUUAUCUGCUUCUUUAUAUGAACACAAAUGCGUAGGUGUUUACUAACUAUCCGAUUUCUUCCCCAAAUUCAAGGCUACCAAAAGUUCUAGGUAACCAUAAAAAGGGCUGUAAAUCACAGCCCUUGUGAUUUUGAGGUAGGGCGCAAAUGCAUGACACAGGUCUAAACAUCCUAGCAAGGACAUACAUGGAACCAUACAUAGUAUCUUCUUGGGCUUCAGGUUAACUGACAGAACUCGUUGAACCGGAUAAUAGGCUGGCUACUCCCAGAAGGCAAGAUUGAGAUGAACUGAGGCCUCAUAGCUACAAAUUGGUACAGUCAUUUCCGGAUUGCUAUGGGGAUCAGAUAUUAUUAUAUAGGUGAAGUGAAACCUCACAGAGAAAUGGGAGACUUAAGUCAAAAUGAUUGACUCAACUCAAGAAGCAACAUCUGAAGAGAUGCCGGUGCCUUGACCUUGGACUUCCCAGCCUCUAGAACUAUGAGAAAUAAAUUUCUCUUGUUUGUAAACUAUUCAGUCUCAGUCUUGGCUAUUUUGUUAUAGCAGCACAAACAAACUAAGAAUCUUUACCCCUUUUGAAUCUGGGGAGAUGCUGGUUCUUGAGUUGAGUCAACCAUUUUAGAAAAUAAUAAAAGCAUGUCUUUCAGGAAAGAGCAAGCAAGUGAGCACAAUUCAGGCCACCCACCACAGCACUGGAAGAGGAAAAGAAAAGACAACCUAGCUACCAACUACCAAAAUGGUCCAAGACCAAGAUAGGGUGCAUAGCAUGUGGUCAACUCUGUAUCUAGAACCCAAGCAGUUAACUACAAGGCUGGAAAAUGAGAUCAUCCAGCUGUUCACUCAGUGUGCUUCAGAGGAGAGGUGCUUUCCACAACUGAAGGGCUGCAAAGAGGGCAGGUAGAAU
rnacentral:lncRNA from 1 species